rnacentral:rRNA from 1 species
AUAGCGUAUAUUAAAGUUGUUGCAGUUAAAAAGCUCGUAGUUGAAUUUCUGGCCAAUUCGUCACUGUGCAGUUUGCCGGUGUUGAGUUUGGUCAUCCGUAGGGGAAGCCAGUUCGGCCUUCACUGGUCGGCUGGGGGAAUCUACAAUUUACUGUGAAAAAAUUAGAGUGUUUCAGGCAGGCAAUCGCUUGGAUACUCCAGCAUGGAAUAAUGGAAUAGGACUUUGGUCUAUUUAUUGGUUUGAGAUCAAAGUAAUGAUUAAUAGGGACAGUUGGGGGCAUUCGUAUUUAAUUGUCAGAGGUGAAAUUCUUGGAUUUAUUAAAGACGGACUUAUG